GUGGUACUCCCUCCGUCCGGAAAUACUUGUCAUCAAAAUGAAUAAAAGGGGAUGCAUCUAGACGUAUUUUAGUUCUAGAUACAUCUCUUUUUAUCCAUUUCGAUGACAAGUAUUUUCAGACGGAGGGAGUACAUU
rnacentral:pre_miRNA from 1 species